rnacentral:rRNA from 1 species
GAUCAUGGCUCAGGAUGAACGCUAGCUACAGGCUUAACACAUGCAAGUCGAGGGGCAGCAUAAUGGAUAGCAAUAUCUAUGGUGGCGACCGGCGCACGGGUGCGUAACGCGUAUGCAACCUACCUUUAACAGUGGGAUAACACUGAGAAAUUGGUACUAAUACCCCAUAAUAUCAUAGAAGGCAUCUUUUAUGGUUGAAAAUUCCGAUGGUUAGAGAUGGGCAUGCG